rnacentral:lncRNA from 1 species
GGGGCUGGUAUCCUGGGACCUUCACGUGGUGGCCCUGUUUUCACUAACCUUACCAGGAUAUUCAUUUUACUGCAGCUUCUCAGGUCGCUGUCAUUAACGAAGAUGACAGAAGACAGUUGGCUUUGAGACCAGCUCACUUGUUGGGUAAAGCGCCAAGAAGGGGCCAGAUCCAAGGCACUGACUGGUGAGGUCUGUGAUCACAAUGGUAACACAACGGCAGAGGCUUCCAGAGUGGAUUCAGCGGGGCGCCAAACAGGACAGAAAAAUGGACACUCCCCAAGAAAAGCACUUUGAAACUGCCAGUCACUAUGCAGCAGUAGUUGACCUUUCUUACUGUUUACUUUUAGCAUAUGAAAUAAUUCUCUGUUUUGGUGAAGACCAAAGUGAGUCAAGUUGCGUCACAUGGGAUGUAGUUGUGGAAAUCACAAAAUUUCUCGUUCUCUCACAUUUAUGCCUUUUCCCUUUCAUUUCCCAGCACUGACUUUUUGUAAUCUGUGAGUCAAGGUUGAAUGGUGCUGAAUUACAGCAUUAGAGGCAUGAUCAUUUUUCAGUAUUACGAAGUUUAUAAUAGGCCCAGUUACCGAUUUCACUCAAUUUCAUUAGUUGUUUGAUUGAAAAGCUUAUGAAAGACGAGUUUACCAUUCAUCUGCUGGUCGUUCUUGUAACGAUCAUCCAAUUUAAUGAUUUCAUCAUGCAAAUUCGGUAAGAUCGCAUGAAAGUCGAUGAAUGCUAGGCAAUCCUAGUAGUGCGUUUCAGCAAUAAAUUCAGUGACAAAAUUGAGGAAUUAAAUUGGUAACAUGGAUUACAAAAAUGAAUUUGCAUUUCCAAUUCAACGCCAUGCCCGGAGUGAGACUAAAAUGACGAUAUAUAAGACGAAUAAAAAUUUUCACUCACUUUGCAGCUAUAAAUUGUUUACAAGUAAUGAAUCAUUGUAGCCACAGUAAAUUUCUUGUGAACAUGUGGAGAAUUUGUCUUAGCAGUUUUAUGGAUGCAGUCUGUAGUUGGGAAAGGAAGCCUCUAACAGGAUGAUGAAUGAGCUUGUCUUAUAAAAUUACAAAAUUCAGAUAAUGAACGAAAGAUGUUUAUUUUUGUGUAAUUCAGUUUGUAACUUUUCUUCUUUGAUUUUCAACUUGAAGUGCCCAAUUUAGUGGUGGCAAGUGCAGCCAAUAAAUUUUCAGAAAUGUCUUUUA